rnacentral:rRNA from 1 species
AUUGAACGCUGGCGGCGUGCCUAACACAUGCAAGUCGAGCGGCAGCGCGGGGCAACCUGGCGGCGAGCGGCGGACGGGUGAGUAACGCUUGAGAAUCUGCCUAUUAGUGGGGGACAACCCGGGGAAACUCGGGCUAAUACCGCAUACGCACUACGGUGGAAAGCCGGGGACCGCAAGGCCUGGCGCUAAUAGAUGAGCUCAAGUCGGAUUAGCUAGUUGGUAGGGUAACGGCCUACCAAGGCGACAAUCCGUAGCUGGUCUGAGAGGACGACCAGCCACACCGGAACUGAGACACGGUCCGGAGUCCUACGGGAGGCAGCAGUGGGGAAUAUUGGACAAUGGGCGAAAGCCUGAUCCAGCGACGCCGCGUGGGUGAAGAAGGCCUGCGGGUUGUAAAGCCCUUUCGGUGGGGAAGAAAUGCUUCGAGCUAAUACCUCGGGGCUUUGACGUAACCCACAGAAGAAGCACCGGCUAACUCUGUGCCAGCCGCCGCGGUAAGAC